rnacentral:rRNA from 1 species
CGUGCUUUGCGGCACGAGUUGUAGAUUGCAGGUUGGAGUCUGUGUGGAAGGCGGUGUCCAAGUCCCUUGGAACAGGGCGCCCAGGAGGGUGAGAGCCCCGUGGGAUGCCGGCGGAAGCAGUGAGGCCCUUCUGACGAGUCGAGUUGUUUGGGAAUGCAGCUCCAAGCGGGUGGUAAAUUCCAUCUAAGGCUAAAUACUGGCGAGAGACCGAUAGCGAACAAGUACUGUGAAGGAAAGAUGAAAAGCACUUUGAAAAGAGAGUGAAACAGCACGUGAAAUUGUUGAAAGGGAAGGGUAUUGCGCCCGACAUGGGGAUUGCGCACCGCUGCCUCUCGUGGGCGGCGCUCUGGGCUUUCCCUGGGCCAGCAUCGGUUCUUGCUGCAGGAGAAGGGGUUCUGGAACGUGGCUCUUCGGAGUGUUAUAGCCAGGGCCAGAUGCUGCGUGCGGGGACCGAGGACUGCGGCCGUGUAGGUCACGGAUGCUGGCAGAACGGCGCAACACCGCC